GCAGAUGCUGUUUUACAGGACGCAGAGUGCUGGAGCAACUCAGCCGGGCAGACAGCAUCUUUGGAUAACAUGGGCAGAUGCUGGAAAUCUUAAACAAAAGCAGAACAAGUCUGAGAAAACUCAAAAGAAAGGCAUCCAUGGAAAGAGGAACAGUCAAUGAUUCGGAACUUUGUGAUUUGCUCAAGAUUCCAGCAGCUGCAGUCUCUUGUGUCACCGAAAAGGAGAAUACUGGAUGGAAAUGCUGCCAAUUAGGUCACCAAUUGCAAAGCAAGUCCAUUUGAUCCGCAGUUUCAAGUUUCUUGUCACUUUAAUUCUGUUUCAUAUUUUGCCGCUGUUUACAAAGACGAAUAAAAAGUUCACAGUCCAGUCCACACGCUGGAAGUACUGGAGCACCCCCGAUCUAGGUAAACCCCAGGCUGUUAUAGGUCUGCGACCCAAAGUUCCUCUCCUUGACUGGCUGCCUGUGUGUCCCGGGGCACCUCCUGCAGUCAACCUUAAAAGUGCAAAACCCUGGACCCUCUCCAUGGCCGCCAGCGGCCCCCUCCUCGACUCUCCGAUCUUCAGGGCUUCCGAGCUUCCCCUGCAGACAGCGGCACACUGUGCUCUUCUUCGCAAGGUGAUUAAGUGAGCAUUUAGAACAUUCCAUUCUCAAUUUCUUGUGAAAAAAUAUCUCCUGAUCUCAGUCCUAAAUGACCUACCCUUUAUUCUGAGAUUGAGAUCGCUGGUUCCUCCCACAGGCUGGGGAAAUAUCCUCUCUCCCACCAGCCUCAUGAACCUUACAAAAAGUUUGUAAGUUUCAAUAAGCUCUCAUUUUAUUUAGCUAGAAAAAACAUUGUUUGCUCAUACAGCAAAGCUUCCAUCCCAAGAAUCAGUCAAGUGAAACUUCCAUUAAAAACUCCCUUAAAAAGAGUCAAGAGUGUUUUAUUGUCAUAUGUCCUGGAUGGGACGAUGAGAUUCUUACUUGUUGCACCACAACAGAAUAUGUGAAUAUGUAAACAUAGUACAUAACGGGGGAAGAGAAAACAAAAGUUCAAUAAAUAAUAAAUAUAGUGCAAUAAUAGUAUAGUAUCCUUAUCUUUAGGUAUAUAGAAUAGAAUAGAAUAGUUUCUUUAUUGUCAUUGUAACAUGAACCAUGUACAACGAAAUUUAAAAAUGUCAGCCAGUCAGUGCACCAUUCAAACAUUUCUAAAAGCUAACGAUACAUACAAGAUAAAAUAUUAAAAGAUAAACAACUAAAAUAAAUAUCACGAAAAUAGCACGCAUAAACACCCAACCCUCCAUCCUUCUGUCGAUUUCACAGUGUACCACAUUCCCUUAGUAUGUCUGGCCCCUCUUUUACUUGGCGGCUACAUUUAGUGCUUUUAUAGCAGUGGGGUAAAAACUGUUUUUUAGUCUGUUCGUCCUUGUCCUUGUAGAUCUGUACCGUCUGCCUGACGGCAACAGUUCAAACAGGGAGUGUCCGGGGUGGGAAAUGUCCUUUAUGAUACUCUGGGAUAUAAUGAAACGUAAAGAAUCAUCUCAUCAAAGCCGCAUAUUAUGUAACAAGAUACCUUUAUUCCUGCACUAGAAUUGUCUUGUAAUAAAGACCUACAUACAAUUUGCUUUCCUAAUCAC